AUCUAGUAUUUGGGAGUAUGCUUGAGAAAACAGAGCUUCAGGAAAAGCUGAGAAUGACCUCUCUCUGGCUGACUCACUGUGACUUUAAAGUAAUAUGUCUUUACAGAACAUGGCUUCUCUGCUGUUGGAACAGGAAGACCAAACAGCUCCCUGAAGCAGGUUACCUGCUCUGUAUCCACUGUACCAGUUCUCUAAACUGGCUGAAUAUCGGGAACAUCUGGGAUGCUGUUUGUACAAUAGGACUGAAGCCUGCUUUUGUUCUUCCAAAUGCUGCUGAAGUGAAGCUCUACCCAGGACUGACCAUAUAGAAACUGACUUCUCCAGU